rnacentral:lncRNA from 1 species
UCACUAAUUGAUUAAUCUGACAAAGGAGAUGGAUUAUCAGAAUUGAAGAUGCAGAAUCAAAUAAAUAGGUUUUUUUUGGCAAUGAAUCUUGCGAUCUUAAAUCCUAUAAAUUUUGUUUUUCUUUUUUGAGAAAUGUGAAUAGGGAGUUGAGGAGCUUUGUGUACGUUAAAGUUUCAGUAACUUGUUGGGUAAAAGAGAAAUUUUUUGAGCAAAUGAG